AUGCGAUCAGAUGGCUUCAAUGCACUAAUUGGAACCACUUCGGUAAUUGCAUCCGUUGCCAUAGUAGUCUAAAAAAAGAGUUAGAAUAACAUUAAUGCAUAACUUAGAUAAAUAUAAACUGAUGAGUUAAGUAGAUUGUACUUGAAUAUGUGAGUUGUCUUCGUAUAUUUAAUAAAAACAACAAAUGAUACAACUUAAAUCAGUAAGAACAUAAAUUCAACUAAUAACACAAAUUAGAUCGAUUACGAAUAUAAGCUAAAUUGUUGGCAUAGCAAUUAAUAUUGUAUUUAAAUUAUUAAUGGACAAAAAACAAUCGACAAAGAAGCUAAGUGAAUUGACAAAGAGAACUAAAAAAAGAGAACGGAACCUCGAGAUGAGACAAAAUUGAGAAUAAUUGUGGAUGAAAGAAAAAUAUGAUGAGGACAGUAAAAAAGCAAAAUUAACAUGGGUUUUAUAGAAGUUGGUAAAGAAUACCUAUUUUGUAUGGGAUAAGAAUUGUUUUAAUCCUAUUUUGUAUUUAAAAAAAAAAGGGUUGAUGGAGUCCGGGAGAACAAAUAACAAAGACGAAAAUAUUUUUGUUUUUUAAAUUUGGCAAGAAGCGUAGAAAGAUGGAAAAAUUUGUUAUUAAAACACAACAAUUUAAUAAGUAGUUUGGGACAAAAAGUGGCUAGGAUAUUAAAUUUGUUAAAUAAAUAUUUUUUUUAAUUUUGGCAAGAAAGCGGCGGAAAGAUUGUUAAUUUGUUAAAUAAACAUAUUUUUAAAUUUUGGCAAGAAAGAUUGCUUUCUUUUUUUAAUUUAAAUCUGAGUUUCAAGAUGGAACAAGGGAUUUUAUUUUUUAAAAUAAAAUUAUUUUGAAUAUUUAGAUUUGGGUUUUAUCCUGUCCUCUUUUAGUUAGGACUGAUUUAAUUUUUCGGAAGGAAAGGUAUCCUGAUUUUGUGAGGAAAGUUUUUUUUAAAAAAAAUAGUAUUAAAAUAAUAAGAGAAUUGUGAAAAGUCAAUUUGUCUAAAGCGGAGACUUUUAAUGAAGGGCAAAAAGUUCAAACAAUAUUUUUAAGGUCUUUCACACUUUUAAUAUAUUAUUGAUAGAUUAUAGAUUUAGUCAUUAUACAUUUUUUUCUAAUUCUAAUAGCACUUUGAUUUAACGGAAAUUUAUUUUUAUUUUAAAGAUUUUAUAUUUUUAUUAAAAUCGAGGGCAUAUUAUGCAUUUAUUAAUAAAAGCAUAUUAGAGUUUGAUUUGCAUUGUACUUUUAAAUUUUUCCUUUGGUUAUAGGAUAAAAUAUUAGAACUCAUUCGUUGUUAGCAAGACACAAAAAGAAACUGUUGCCUCCAUUUUUCAUAUUUAUUUAUUUUUGGUAAAAUUUGACAUUUAUAUAUAAUGAAAUUGAUCAAUUAGAAAAGUGUUAAGAAAGUUACUAAGCUCCUCUAUAUUCUGGUCCGUUUAGUAAGAGGAGUUUUAUAGGUUUUGAUUCUUGCAUAUCAAUUCAGAUAUUAUUUUCAAUGUCUUUCCUGCUUCACUCGACUUCUUCAAUAAUAAAAUUAUUGUCGGAUCAAAUUAGCGAAUAAGGUGAUGCGUGGAUAUUAAGAUAAAAUAAUUACAUUACUAUUCACUUUUAAGAUUUUUAAAAAUCAAUUAUUAAAAUUCACUAACUUGUUUAUUUGAUUACAUUAGUUGGAUAUUAUUAGAAAACUUUCCUAAAUCUAAUAUAAAUGUUAUUUCUAUUUUGUAUAUAGAUAUUCAGUUGUAUUUUUAAUUUAUUUGUGUUGACUUUGUACCAAAGCAAAUAUUUAUUUUUGAUUAUUUUCUAUUAAAAGCAAAUCAAAUAUCACAAAUUAACAUAAAAUACAAAAUAUGAACCAAAAUAAACAAAAAAAAACAAGAAAAUAAAAGGUACAAAAAUUAAGAUCCCUUUUUGAAAAGUUCAUUAUAAAAUGUCCAAAUACCUCUUUGAUGAAAGUUAAAUAGGUCAUUAUAAAAUGUUCAACUUCUUCACUUAUUCUAUUUUUUAUCGAUGUUUGAGAGAUUCUCUGGGUCUUCUUUGCACUGUUACGUAAGCUUUUUUUCUUUUUUUCUCUUUUAUUUUCCUUUUCUGAUUUGAGCAUGCUUGUGAAAACCCGAGCUUGAUGUAGCGGAGAGUGAAAAUGAUCUUGAAUUACCAAAUAUUUGAUGAUCUAUUUGAUUCUUUCAGUAUCUUCUUGUUCCUUUCUGUUGUUGUAUUGUUGAAUUCAUGGCAAAUAUCAUGUCGUUUCUAACUAAAAAUGAUGUAAUGUGUCAUUAUUUGUUGUUGUUUUCUUAUUUUUGUGUCGUUUGUUGUUGUUUUGAUUAUCGUAUAACCUUGCAUGCAUUUUAAAAUUUUCAAUAGUUCUGUCUUUUCAAAUUCAUUUAUGUCUGAUCUAAAAUAUGAAGAAAUAACAAUAAGAACUGAAAUAUGAAGAAAUAACAAUGAGAACAAAGAAAAGAAGGAAACGACAAUAUGAGGAUUGCAAGUUGGACAAAAAAUUUAUUCAUAGAUAUGUUGUUGUUGACCAGUUUAAACACAGUAAGUUUACCUAUUCAUAUAACUUUUUGAUUUCCACUUUUAAAGUGAUUAACUAAUGUAGAUUUUAAUUGAAAUAUAUUUUGUAAGCAUGUAGUUUUGAAGAUGAGAAAGUUAUAAUUAUGAAAUGUUGCACUUUGUUUUAUGGUAUAUAACAAUUUGGUCUGCUGAAUUUGUUGUAUAUAUGUUUCAUGUCCUGUAAACACAUUUCAAUUUUCUAUUUAUUAACUUCAUCAUAUUUUGUAGCAUUCAAUUUGUGCUCAUGUUGGAGCAAGUAUGCAGCAUCGUGGCUUUGCUAAAUAUGAGUGUAGAUCAGUUUGCUUCACAAUCUUUCUCUUCAUUAAGUCUCUUCAUAAAUAUCCAAAAUUCAAGCAUAGAAUUUGAAAGCAGUGUUUAAUUCGUCACAUAGAGAAGUGUACCUUACCACCAUGGUUAACAGUAAGAAUCUUUAUCUAUGCAAUCGAUUAUAUGAAUCAUACAUAUGUAUAUGUCCACACAAAUAUAAUAACUAUUGUGUUUUGAAUUAUGUGGUGCUCAAGCUCCCACAUCCACUACAACUUGUGCAUUGAGGUUUCAAGCAUUCAAAAGGCUUAAUAAGAAAAAAAUUAAAGAAUACAUAAUUAUGCACUAAACAACAAAUUUCAUUCUCAAAUAUAAUCGAUUAUUACUAAAUAUGUAAAAACAUACUUGUGUGGAGGCAGACCGCUUGAUGUUAGACUUGUGUACUAUUUUUUAUUUCUUACUAUUGUUUUAUAUUUUUUUUCUUUAAAAAAAGGGGCACAUAUCAAAUAUUGACACUUUGCUUUUAAUAAAGAUCUAUUUUUAUUCUUAAGAUGGCACAUUGUUACCAUAUUUAGUAUAGGUUGUUUGUGUUGUAUGGACAUUUAACAUAGUGUAUUUAUUUUUGUAAGCAGAUGAAUAAUGAAGCUUUAUUGCUACACUUAUCUAUCAUUUGAGUGUCUGAAGUGUAUGGACUUUUUAACCUUUAUAGUUCGUGAUAAUUUUUUUCUUGCAUGUGUUGAAUAGGUUGCUAGAAUUUGUUUAGAGCGUGGUGUUAAAUUUGAGUAAUACUAUUAUCAAAUUACUUGUUCUACAUGUCAAUUAAAUUUCUCAAUAAAUUUUUCAAUAGAUACAGUAACUUUCUCCU